rnacentral:rRNA from 1 species
UACUGGAAACGGUAGCUAAUACCGCAUAACGUCGCAAGACCAAAGAGGGGGACCUUCGGGCCUCUUGCCAUCAGAUGUGCCCAGAUGGGAUUAGCUAGUAGGUGGGGUAACGGCUCACCUAGGCGACGAUCCCUAGCUGGUCUGAGAGGAUGACCAGCCACACUGGAACUGAGACACGGUCCAGACUCCUACGGGAGGCAGCAGUGGGGAAUAUUGCAC